AGACAGCAGUCGCCGCGGUAAUACGAAGGGUGCAAGCGUUACUCGGAAUUACUGGGCGUAAAGCGUGCGUAGGUGGUGGUUUAAGUCCGUUGUGAAAGCCCUGGGCUCAACCUGGGAAUUGCAGUGGAUACUGGGUCACUAGAGUGUGGUAGAGGAUAGUGGAAUUUCCGGUGUAGCAGUGAAAUGCGUAGAGAUCGGAAGGAACAUCUGUGGCGAAGGCGACUAUCUGGGCCAACACUGACACUGAGGCACGAAAGCGUGGGGAGCAAACAGGAUUAGAUACCCGAGUAGUCCCUGUCUCUUAUAC
rnacentral:rRNA from 1 species